GACGAACGCUGGCGGCGUGCUUAACACAUGCGAGUCGAACGGAAAGGCCAUGCUUUUGUGGGGUGCUCGAGUGGCGAACGGGUGAGUAACACGUGAGUAACCUGCCCUUGACUUUGGGAUAACUUCAGGAAACUGGGGCUAAUACCGGAUAGGAGCUCCUGCUGCAUGGUGGGGGUUGGAAAGUUUCGGCGGUUGGGGAUGGACUCGCGGCUUAUCAGCUUGUUGGUGGGGUAGUGGCUUACCAAGGCUUUGACGGGUAGCCGGCCUGAGAGGGUGACCGGCCACAUUGGGACUGAGAUACGGCCCAGACUCCUACGGGAGGCAGCAGUGGGGAAUAUUGCACAAUGGGCGGAAGCCUGAUGCAGCAACGCCGCGUGCGGGAUGACGGCCUUCGGGUUGUAAACCGCUUUCGCCUGUGACGAAGCGUGAGUGACGGUAAUGGGUAAAGAAGCACCGGCUAACUACGUG
rnacentral:rRNA from 1 species